CAGUCGCACGGGAAUACAGAGGGUGCGAGCGUUAAUCGGAUUUACUGGGCGUAAAGCGUGCGUAGGCGGCUUCUUAAGUCGGAUGUGAAAUCCCUGAGCUUAACUUAGGAAUUGCAUUCGAUACUGGGAAGCUAGAGUAUGGGAGAGGAUGGUAGAAUUCCAGGUGUAGCGGUGAAAUGCGUAGAGAUCUGGAGGAAUACCGAUGGCGAAGGCAGCCAUCUGGCCUAAUACUGACGCUGAGGUACGAAAGCAUGGGGAGCAAACAGGAUUAGAUACCCGCGUAGUCCCUGUCUCUUAUACA
rnacentral:rRNA from 1 species